UACGGGGGGAGCAAGCGUUGUUCGGAUUUACUGGGCGUAAAGGGCGCGUAGGCGGCCACCGCAAGUCGACUGUGAAAUCUCCGAGCUUAACUCGGAAAGGUCAACUGAUACUGUGCGGCUAGAGUGCGGAAGGGGCAACUGGAAUUCUUGGUGUAGCGGUGAAAUGCGUAGAUAUCGAGAGGAACACCUGCGGCGAAGGCGGGUUGCUGGGCUGACACUGACGCUGAGGCGCGAAAGCUAGGGGAGCGAACGGG
rnacentral:rRNA from 1 species